GUGCCAGCAGCCGCGGUAAUACAGAGGGUGCAAGCGUUAAUCGGAAUUACUGGGCGUAAAGCGAGCGUAGGUGGCUUGAUAAGUCAGAUGUGAAAUCCCCGGGCUUAACCUGGGAACUGCAUCUGAUACUGUUGGGCUAGAGUAGGUGAGAGGGAGGUAGAAUUUCAGGUGUAGCGGUGAAAUGCGUAGAGAUCUGAAGGAAUACCGAUGGCGAAGGCAGCCUCCUGGCAUCAUACUGACACAAAACGG
rnacentral:rRNA from 1 species